rnacentral:rRNA from 1 species
AGAGUUUGAUCCUGGCUCAGAGCGAACGCUGGCGGCAUGCCUAACACAUGCAAGUCGAGCGCUCCCAGCAAUGGGGGAGCGGCGGACGGGUGAGUAACGCGUAGGAACGUAUCCUGAGGUGGGGGAUAACCCUGGGAAACUAGGGCUAAUACCGCAUGAUGGCGAGAGCCCAAAGAUUUAUCGCCUUGGGAGCGGCCUGCGUCUGAUUAGCUUGUUGGUGGGGUAACGGCCUACCAAGGCGAUGAUCAGUAGCUGGUCUGAGAGGAUGAUCAGCCACACUGGGACUGAGACACGGCCCAGACUCCUACGGGAGGCAGCAGUGGGGAAUAUUGGACAAUGGGCGAAAGCCUGAUCCAGCAAUGCCGCGUGGAUGAAGAAGGUCUUCGGAUUGUAAAGUCCUUUCGGCGGGGACGAUGAUGACGGUACCCGCAGAAGAAGCCCCGGCUAACUUCGUGCCAGCAGCCGCGGUAAUACGAAGGGGGCUAGCGUUGCUCGGAAUUACUGGGCGUAAAGGGCGCGUAGGCGGACCACUCAGUCAGGCGUGAAAGCCCCGGGC